GACGAACGCUGGCGGCGUGCUUAACACAUGCAAGUCGAACGGAAAGGCCCUGCUUUUGUGGGGUGCUCGAGUGGCGAACGGGUGAGUAACACGUGAGUAACCUGCCCUUGACUUUGGUAUAACUUCAGGAAACUGGGGCUAAUACCGUAUAUGAGCUCCUGCUGCAUGGUGGGGGUUGGAAAGUUUCGGCGGUUGGGGAUGGACUCGCGUCUUAUCAGCUUGUUGGUGGGGUAGUGGCUUACCAAGGCUUUGACGGGUAGCCGGCCUGAGAGGGUGACCGGCCACAUUGGGACGGAGAGACGGACGAGACUACUACGGGAGGCAGGAGUGGGGAAUAUAGCACAAAGGGCGGAAGGAUGAUGCAGCAACGCCGCGUGCGGGAGGACGGACUUAGGGUGGUAAACCGCGUUCGCCUGGGACGAAGCGUGAGGGAAGGUAAUGGGUAAAGAAGCACCGGCAAAUUACGU
rnacentral:rRNA from 1 species